GAUGAACGCUGGCGGCGUGCCUAAUACAUGCAAGUCGAGCGAACAGAUGAGGAGCUUGCUCCUCUGACGUUAGCGGCGAACGGGUGAGUAACACGUGGGUAACCUACCUAUAAGACUGGGAUAACUUCUGGAAACCGUAGCUAAUACCGGAUAAUAUAUUGAACCGCAUGGUUCAAUAGUGAAAGACGGUUUUGCUGUCACUUAUAGAUGGAUCCGCGCCGAAUUAGCUAGUUGUUAAGGUAACGGCUUACCAAGGCAACGAUGCGUAGCCGACCUGAGAGGGUGAUCGGCCACACUGGAAUUGAGACAGGGUCCAGCCCCCUCCGGGAGGAAGCAUUAGGGAAUCUUCCGCAAUGGGGGAAAGCCUGCCGGAGCAACGCCGCGUGAGUAAUGAAGGUCUUCGGAUCGUAAACCUCUGUUAUUAGGGAAGACCAAAUGCGUAAGUAACUAUGCACGUCUUGACGGUACCUAAUCAGAAAGCCACGGCUAACUACGUG
rnacentral:rRNA from 1 species